CUCAAAGUCAGACAGGCUGGCAUUCGCUUACCUGUCUGAAAUCCGUCAUGUGAAUUUGCUUAGACUUUCUGGGCAUCUAGUGAGCGAUCACGUUAAAUUCAAUCUGUGUAAGGUAAAACCUUUGAACCAUUGCAAAAAUUCCAUUGGCAAGAGUCUCAAAAAAUAUUCUUUAAUCGACUUCAAAAUGCCCGAAAAACCCCCUGCGAAGUCACCGCCAAAGUCGCCACAGAAAUCGCCACCGAAGCCCCUGACCAGCAUCACCAAACCGUCCACAUUCGGGACUCCUAAUCCCAGAGGCCCCAAGCCAUCAGGCGCUGGAACGAAUCGUCCUCCUCUGGCCAAUCAACAUGAUAGGAUUUGGAAGAUUAUGAAAAUGUAAUUACGGAAACGAUUUUAAGGAUGGCUCAAGACAACUCUUCGAACUUUUAAACAAAACAUAAUUUAUAAUUCAAAAUGUGUUUUGAAUAAACUAACGACGGCGCUGAAUAAAGCGAAAAAGUCCCACAACAUUA